UGGUCUUCCAUCGUUUCUGGUGACACACAGGAAAUAACAAGAUUCCGGUGUUUGCUCCUUCAAUUUGGAAAACUGUUCCACUUCCUGACAAAGAAUUCAGUGGCUCACUCAGGGACUGAGUCAACCAUCUGAUUAUUUCACAAUCAUUACGAACUGCUACGUUUUUUAAGUUGAUUUCCGGGAGCCUAGUUUGUGCUGGUCCGGGUAAAACCACGAGUCGAGUUUAAAAGGUUCCGUGUUGAUACAAUGAGCGCUUCUGAGGACUAAAUAAUCACAGAAUUUGGCCAAGUUUGCCAGCAGAUACACAUCGAUGGAUGCUCCCUAUACUAAGACCGAGAGUUUCCCUAUUAUUGGUGCAGGAUGCCAGCUUGAACACGGCCAUGGUGAUUCACUUUCGG